AUUGAACGCUGGCGGCAUGCUUUACACAUGCAAGUCGAACGGUAACAGGCCGCAAGGUGCUGACGAGUGGCGAACGGGUGAGUAAUGCAUCGGAACGUGCCCGGUCGUGGGGGAUAACUACUCGAAAGAGUAGCUAAUACCGCAUACGAUCUAUGGAUGAAAGCGGGGGACCGUAAGGCCUCGCGCGAUUGGAGCGGCCGAUGUCAGAUUAGGUAGUUGGUGGGGUAAAGGCUCACCAAGCCAACGAUCUGUAGCUGGUCUGAGAGGACGACCAGCCACACUGGGACUGAGACACGGCCCAGACUCCUACGGGAGGCAGCAGUGGGGAAUUUUGGACAAUGGGCGCAAGCCUGAUCCAGCAAUGCCGCGUGCAGGAAGAAGGCCUUCGGGUUGUAAACUGCUUUUGUACGGAACGAAACGGCUCUGGUUAAUACCCGGGGCUAAUGACGGUACCGUAAGAAUAAGCACCGGCUAACUACGUG
rnacentral:rRNA from 1 species